GAAUAUUGGUCAAUAGCCUAACGGCUGAACCAGCAACUUGGAAGAAUGAAUGGCAAUAGCCAGUUACAUUACAAAAAAAAUUGUAGUGUGAAAUUGACUCUGUCGAAUAAAGUUCUGGGUGGAAUAUUGAUAAUGACAUAUUCUGUCUAUUUGUCUUGACCAAAUUACGUGCCAGCAGUCGCGGUAAUACGUAAAAGACUAGUGUUAUUCAUCUUUAAUUGGUUUAAAGGGUACUUAGACGGUAAAUCAAGCCAAGAUAGAAAAGGUACUAAUUUACUUGAGUAUUAUGUGAGAUGCAUAUAUAGUUGUAUUCUUGAGAGAAGAGAUGAAAUUCUGUCAUCCGUCGAGGUUACGGGUAAAAGCGAAAGCGACCAUCUAUGUAAAUACUGACGUUGAAG
rnacentral:rRNA from 1 species